UACGUAGGGUGCAAGCGUUGUCCGGAAUUAUUGGGCGUAAAGAGCUCGUAGGCGGUCUGUCGCGUCUGCUGUGAAAACCUAGGGCUUAACUCUGGGCGUGCAGUGGGUACGGGCAGACUAGAGUGCGGUAGGGGAGAUUGGAAUUCCUGGUGUAGCGGUGGAAUGCGCAGAUAUCAGGAGGAACACCAAUGGCGAAGGCAGAUCUCUGGGCCGUAACUGACGCUGAGGAGCGAAAGCAUGGGGAGCGAACAGG
rnacentral:rRNA from 1 species